AACCUCUGGCGCACCAGUUGUUCCGCCAGGAGCACAGCUGGGCAACUAUGUUCGGAUCGGAUAAACGCUGAAAGCAUCUAAGCGUGAAGCCGACCCAAAGAUAAGAUAUCCCACUGAGUAAUCAGGUAAGGUCCCUUGAAGACUACAAGGUAGAUAGGCACGAUGUGUAAGUGGAGCGAUCCAUUCAGCAGGUGUGUACUAAUAGACCGAGGGCUUGACCA
rnacentral:rRNA from 1 species